UUUUCAUCAAUGUGUCAUUAAGAAAUCAAUGUGUCAUUUUAUUAUACGAAAAUAUAGCUAUAUUCUUAUUUGUAUAGAAAUCAGUAGUAAAUAGAAAAAAUUGCAAACAUCGAAAAACGUUUUUUGACCAAUUUCGACGUGAAUCUGUAUAACUUCUGUAUAACAAGACCAAUUCCGGAACCGGAUGUCACGUGAUCAUGAUGACUUGUCGCUACUUCCAUUUUGUAUUUGUAUGGCGGCAAACGGCAUCACGGCAUGGCAACUUUGGGAAAGAAACAUCGCCAUUGAUAAAUUGGAUUCAGCAUAUUGAAACAUCAUAAUGAACUACAAUUUAAAUUUGUUACUUAGUUAGUGCUUGGAAAAUCUGCAGGAAAGUUAUUGGGAUAUACUCAACAAGCAAUAAUGUUGCUGCAGACCCGGACAAAAAUGCUUGUGCUCCCUAUGCUAUUUCAAUACGUGAAAACAAGAUUUGGUUAAGUAUUCUGAAGUGUUCAUGUGUGGAAAGGAUUGAGUGCUGCGAACAAUCCCAAUGCUCUAUGGUGAAUGGAUGAUUAGAUUUUGUUGCUCUGGUCUUUACCUGAGUGUGUUUAAUUGACUUCAUAUAUUUACAGCUGAUGCAGUGUUUCCUGUAUAUACUAUGUAAACCAGUUCUGUUUAAUUUGUUUUUAAUAAAUAUUUUAAGAAAUAGUUUUGCUUCUACUCUUUAUUUAGGCAAGAUAUUGUAUUUUGCUACGAGUAGUCUGACUCUUGAAUAACAACUUGAUCCCCAAAAGCUGAGAAACUACUUAGUAAUUUCAUGCCUUGC